rnacentral:rRNA from 1 species
GACGAACGCUGGCGGCGUGCUUAAUACAUGCAAGUCGAGCGAACAGAUGAGGAGUUUGCUCCGCUGACGUUAGCGGCGGACGGGUGAGUAACACGUGGAUAACCCACCUAUAAGACUGGGAUAACUUCGGGAAACCGGCGAUAAUACCGGAUGAUAUAUUGAACCGCAUGGUUCAAUAGUGAAAGAUGGUUUUGCUGUCACUUAUAGAUGGAUCCGCGCCGCGUUAGCUAGUUGGUAAGGUAAAGGCUUACCAAGGCAACGAUGCGUAGCCGACCUGGGAGGGUGGUCGGCCGCACUGGAGGGGAGACACGGUCCAGACUCCUACGGGAGGCAGCAGAAGGGAAUCGGCCGCAGUGGGCGAGAGCCUUACAGAGCAGCGCGACGUGAGAGGUGAAGGUGUUCGGUGCGUGAAGCUCUGUUAUGAGGGAAAAACAAAUGUGUACGUAACUGUGCACGUCUUGACGGUACCUGCUCAGGAAGCCACGGCUAACUACGUG